AGCAUGAUUGCUGGAUCAUAUGGUAAAAAUAUGUUUAACUUUGUAAGAAACUGCCAAACUGUCUUCCAAAGUGGCUGCACCAUUUUGCAUUUCCACCAGCAAU
rnacentral:pre_miRNA from 1 species